UGAGCAGGAACAGCCAGCUUAGCCCUCUGA
rnacentral:piRNA from 1 species